rnacentral:rRNA from 1 species
UAAGGAAUAUUGGACAAUGGAGGCAACUCUGAUCCAGCCAUGCCGCGUGAAGGAAUAAGGCCCUAUGGGUUGUAAACUUCUUUUAGACGGGACAAAACCCCUUUACGUGUAAAGGGUUGAUGGUACUGUCAGAAUAAGCAUCGGCUAACUUCGUGCCAGCAGCCGCGGUAAUACGAAGGAUGCAAGCGUUAUCCGGAAUUAUUGGGUUUAAAGGGUGCGUAGGCGGACUAAUAAGUCAGUGGUGAAAGCCUGCAGCUUAACUGCAGAAUUGCCAUUGAUACUGUUAGUCUUGAGUACAGUUGAGGUAGGCGGAAUGUGUCAUGUAGCGGUAAAAUGCUUAGAUAUGACACAGAACACCGAUUGCGAAGGCAGCUUGCUAAGCUGUAACUGACGCUGAGGCACGAAAGCGUGGGGAGCAAACA